rnacentral:rRNA from 1 species
GACGAACGCUGGCGGCGUGCUUAACACAUGCAAGUCGACCGGAAAGGCCCUGCUUUUGUGGGGUGCUCGAGUGGCGAACGGGUGAGUAACACGUGAGUAACCUGCCCUUGACUUUGUGAUAACUUCAGAAAACUAGGGCUAAUACCGAAUAGAAGCUCCUGCUGCAUGGUGGGGGUUGGAAAGUUUCGGCGGUUGGGGAUGGACUCGCGGCUUAUCAGCUUGUUGGUGGGGUAGUGGCUUACCAAGGCUUUGACGGGUAGCCGGCCUGAGAGGGUGACCGGCCACAUUGGGACUGAGAUACGGCCCAGACUCCUACGGGAGGCAGCAGUGGGGAAUAUUGCACAAUGGGCGGAAGCCUGAUGCAGCAACGCCGCGUGCGGGAUGACGGCCUUCGGGUUGUAAACCGCUUUCGCCUGUGACGAAGCGUGAGUGACGGUAAUGGGUAAAGAAGCACCGGCUAACUACGUG